rnacentral:sRNA from 1 species
UGUAUCUGAAGCCUGACGAGGAUGAGAACCUCCGGGGGCAAGAGAUUCGACUUGAGCGAAGCGAGAGAACGUUGCGUCAGCAACGGCCCGCAGGGCGAGCCACGCAGUGGCGAGUCAUCCUCUAUCACCGACCA